UACGUAGGGGGCAAGCGUUGUCCGGAAUCAUUGGGCGUAAAGCGCGCGUAGGCGGCUCGAUCAGUCUGCUGUGAAAGUCAAAGGCUCAACCUUUGAAUGCCGGUGGAUACUGUCGAGCUAGAGUCCGGAAGAGGCGAGUGGAAUUCCUGGUGUAGCGGUGGAAUGCGCAGAUAUCAGGAGGAACACCAACGGCGAAGGCAGCUCGCUGGGACGGUACUGACGCUAAGGCGCGAAAGCGUGGGGAGCGAACGAGG
rnacentral:rRNA from 1 species